rnacentral:tRNA from 1 species
CCGCCCUUAGCUCAGCUGGAUAGAGCGUCGCCCUCCGGAGGCGAAGGUCAGAGGUUCGAAUCCUCUAGGGCGGGCCA